GCGGCAGGCUUAACACAUGCAAGUCGAGGGACCGGCGGAAGGGUGCGUAACACGUGAGCGACUUGCCCGUCACAGGGGGAUAACCGGCGGAAACGGCGACUAAUACCCCAUAGUGGCGGAUAGGCUCGCGGGACAUUAGCUAGACGGCGGGGCAACGGCCCACCGUGGCGACGAUGUCUAGGGGUUCUGAGAGGAAGACCCCCCACACUGGGACUGAGACACGGCCCAGACUCCUACGGGAGGCAGCAGUGAGGAAUAUUGGUCAAUGGGCGAGAGCCUGAACCAGCCAAGUAGCGUGCAGGAUGACGGCCUAUGGGUUGUAAACUGCUUUUAUAAGGGAAUAUGUACCUUAUGAAUAAGGACCGGCUAAUUCCGUGCCAGCAGCCGCGGUAAUACGGAAGGUCCGGGCGUUAUCCGGAUUUAUUGGGUUUAAAGGGAGCGUAGGCCGGAGAUUAAGCGUGUUGUGAAAUGUAGAUGCUCAACAUCUGCACUGCAGCGCGAACUGGUUUCCUUGAGUACGCACAAAGUGGGCGG
rnacentral:rRNA from 1 species